UUUUUUUUUUUUUUUUUUAUGUAACUGGUAAAAAAAGUCAUAUGUUUUACUGUAAGUACCAAAUCCUAUUGCAUUCAAUAAUCUAGGAGGUAUCUACUAUUCUAAAUGAAUGUCUUCUGAAGAAUUCUUGACCAAGAUUGAAAAAUAUAAACCAGAGCAAAACAAAUAAUCUAUUUUUACUUAAGGAACUUCAGUUCAGUCUUUCUACUAAAGUACUGACGACCUAUUACUAUGAUCAUCAUCCUUGAUCCGCGUCCCAUUUAAGUGGAUGUGUUCACUGCUGUUCUUGGUACCUGAUGAAGGGUUGAAUGAUGGGGUGCCUGAUAGUAUUUCCAUGGAAAAUGCUACUAGUAGUUGAUAAAGCCAGGCCUCUAGGGGCCAAUUUUCUAAAACUCAUGGGGAAAAAUAGGAGCUAGAAAAUGAACUACCUGGUUAUAUAUAUUUUUUUCAUUGUUUCAAGGAGACUAUUUUCAAGAAUGAUUGUGACAGGAAUAAAAAGACAAGGACAAGUAGCCCCAAACUGUCAAAAUUCCAGCAUUUUUGCAGCUGCUUUCCUGAUAUAUGCCAAUGACUUGUGCCAAAGAGGGGGGGAAAGAAAGGAAGAACAGUUUCUUUUCUCAAAGAUGACGUCAAUAUAUCUGAAGCACUGGCUAAGGAUUAGUAUAGAUGGUAUUAUUGACAAUUUGUCUUUAAGGACAGAUUAAGUUUCCCCAUUAAAGGGUGAGAACAUCCUGUCACAAACCUACAAAGUACUUACCAACCUAAUGUUGAAAGGAGGAUAUACCACUCUUUCACCUAUAACAUUAAGUCCAAUUAUUAAGUACCUAGGCUCUGUGCUAUAGCUGCACCAAAUUUGAAAUUUUAUUUCUCAAAAUCACCCUGUGAAAUUAUUAUUAUUGCCAUUCUGUAGGAUGAGAAAAAUAUCUCAGAGAAGUUCAGUCCUUUGUUCAAAAUUGCAUGACAGUGAAGUAGUAUCACAGUCCUUUCUAAUAUAAUGCAGUUGCUCUCCCUCUAUCCAUCAAACAAAUAACACUAACAACUGUAGACAAUCCAAGACAAAGAAAAGAAUUUUAAAAGCAAGUGAGAGGAGAAAGUUAAAAAAAAAAAACACAUGAGGAAGAUUGCCUGCUUGAGAUUUUUUUUUAAAGGAGAUAGGAGAGAUAAGUAAUUUUGUUUCAAUUUGCCAUGUUAAUCAAGGUGAAUUAGAGACUAUAUCUUGCCAAAAGGAAGGCUAUGAAUGGGUUAUUGGCCAGUUCAGUCAGGAAAAGAUUGGCAAUAAUUGAGGUGGGAAAAUAGCUUAAUAUGGAGAUAAUCCCUGGCUAAUUUAAAUAAAAAGGUGGUUAGAAAGUAUCAAUUACCUCCUCUUUUCAAAUGUUAACUAGAUUUUUAUUAUGAAACAUAAUUAUUUAAUGUCUCAAAUAGUUGACUUUUAAGACAGCCAAAGCCUAACCAGGAUUUUAGUGAAAUCUUUUAAACAGACGUUCAGGAAUGAGACUGCUAUGGAUUUUGUUUUUGACAUCUGAGGAUUUUCAAUUUGGGCAUAACGUGUCAUUCUGGCUUCAACAUAUGGGAAAGUUCUGGAUUCUGGUGCCAUUUAAUUUCCAUUUGGCCCCACACACACUCCUUCAGUUCCUGUAUCUCCUUUACCUUAUAUGCAAAAUGAAGAGAACCUAUGUUUUAAGGAUUUUGUGAGGGUGAAAUGAGAUGAUAAAUGCCAUGGCAUUUUGUGCAAAUGAAAAUGAUGAUUAUAAUCUGUCCACUUCCAUUUUGAUUCCUUAUACCAGUAGAAGGUUCAACUUUAUUACUCUAGCUAUUAUACAUUUUAGUGAUUUUUCUUAGUUUUUGUCCUCCUUAAUUAGUCCUUUCUCAACGGUAAGAUGCCAAUUGAAUGAGUAGCAGUUUGAUAGUUUCUACCUUUCAUCCUAAAUUAAUUGUACUAGAAAGAUCAAUUCAUUCUGCUGAUGAAUUGAUUCUAGGUUUUAGAAUCAAAAAGACCUGUAGUUAAAUCUCUACCUCUGCAAAUUCCGAACUCUGUGAUCAUGGACCAGUCAUUUAGGCCCUCUGAGUUCAUUUCUUCAUUUAUAAAAUGGGAGGAUGAGAGUUCAGAAAGAUCAUGUAUGUAUAGGCAAUGGUAUACUCUGAUUAGAUGAAGUAUAUUUUCCUUUAUCUCUCUCAGUUUUGUAUUUCAGCUCUAAAUCCAGAAGACAGGCUCUCUCCUACGUAAUUUUGAUAUACAGGCCUGAUUCAUUAUAGUGGUUUAAGGAAACUGAGUAAAUAACAAGACAGAUGGGAUCAUGAGCACACAGGUACUCCUGAAGGGGAAGAAUAUCCCAGAUUUCUCCUUUUGUCGUAGUGCCACUGGUGUUUAUGAAAUUGACCAGCCACUUCCCUCUUCAGAAUGACCAGCUGUGAGGGCUUAGCUUGCUUCAUGUAGCCAGAAGCAGAAUAGCCAGGAUAACAAAUCACAGCUGAGUUCCCAGGUUGAUCUGGAGCAUGUACUUGGCAUAGCAGACUAAAUUCUUAUUAUCUUAUGCAUGGAGUUAAUAUGAGCCUCAUUAGUGACAGUUAUUGUAUGAUUACCUUGCCAAAAACAAUGGACAUAUUAUUUUUAUAGAUUUAUUCAAUGAUAUCUGCUCAACCAACAAUUAUUUAACACUUUUGUGUUAAGCCCUAUACUUGACACUGGGGACUUAAAAAAAAAAAAAGAAAAAAAAAAGAGUAAAUCAAGGUCACUGCUUUCCAGGAACAUGAAAUUUAGAAAGAAAGAGAAAUAGAUGCACCAUUGACUAUUUUACAGCCAUGACAAAUCCUAGAUGCCUAACAGGGUAUGAUUAACCCUACCCACGUUGUGGAGGAGGCAGACUUCUCAGAUAAAGUUAAUUUUCUUGGAUCCAAAUUGUAAAAGUCACAGUAAGGGAACAGGGAAGCUAAAAUUAAACAAAAUGCGAAUGGGCUGGGUUUCAAUAUUCUCAUGAGUUGGAAGAUGAUUCAGUUACUAGGAAGAACCAGAAAAAUGAUCUUCAAAUACUUCUUCCCUUGUCUCUUCCUGGAUUCCCAAGGAUAGCCCAGUGUGGAUGCCCCUUAAAAUAAUUCCCCACUACUGUGUGACCAGGAUAGACCAGUUCUCUGGUAUCUUAGAGCUAGUCUCCUUCUAAGCCACAUGGCUUAUUUUAAAAGCUGGAAAGAAGGUGUAAGGGGUGUUUGCCAAAAGUGGCAAUUGAUCUGCCCAAACACUGGGAGGGCUGACUCUGCCCUUGCCAAUAGUCAUUUGGAGUUAUAGAGACUCUUUCUGUGACACUCUCAAAGUUCUUUAGUCUCAACUCCCACUCUAUUCAAACAAUCUGCAGAAAUUAAAGUCUUCUACAGUGCCUCAAUAUUAGAAAUGUAAUUCCUUAAAAUAUGUUUGCACAUAAAUGUCAGUACCAUAGCUGUACACCAAUACUUCUUUCUAAGACCUUGGAGGUCUAACUGGGAUGAGUGCUACUGGUACAGGAAGCAGAAUUAAAUCAGAUGGAAAUGGUCAUACCACAUUAAAAGUCCUUACUUAAAUUGAACCCUUGGAAAAAUAUUUUUGCACAUGAAUUGAUCCAUCUACUCUUGGCAAAAGAUCAGAAGUUGAAUUUCUAAUGGAUUCCUUUGUGCCUUAGCUGCCUGAAUGAUUGAAAAUAAAGAUGCACUUGGGAGUUCAGCUUUGGGGAGGCUGUAUGACACAGUGGUUAAGAUCUCAGACUUGGGGUUAGGUUCCCUAUUUUGCAAAGCCAGCGCCAGCCCUUACUGUGCCCUUGGGCUAUUUACUUAAAAACCCUGGUCCUGAAUUUCUUCAUCUGUAGAAUCAGGACUACAAUAAUAUGAAUAUCACUUCAGUGAUUGGAUGAAUUAAUACAUGGAAAACUCAUAAAGCCUGAUCUGUUGUAAGCAUUCAAAAAGGUUAGCUAUUAUAUUAGCUGCUUUAAUUUAUUGCCAUACUCCUCUUUUCUAAAAUGUUUUGUCUUGACCUGUACUGCAUUCUCCAUUUAUCUCGACUUCUUUCUGAAAUAUGGAGAAUAUGUAACUCUUCUGGAAAAAGCUCCAGCUACAGAGACCAUGACACCUGGGGUGGGAAUCAGGAUCCCUUACUCUGUGUGGCCUUAGCAAAAAUACAUAAUCUGUCAGUUAAACUAUCUCUAAAAUAUCUUUGCAGGGCUUUGAUGUAAAUAAAAUCAUUUAUAUCAAGUGUUGCUCAAUACUUGACAAUUCUUUCCACUGCCUCUUUGCAUACCUCAGUUUUUGAAGGUUUCUUUCUUUUUUUUUAGUCACAAGGUGGAGAUGGUAACACCCACCUGGCCCAAAAUAGAGCUAGAACAGCUGCAGUUGAAAUUGGGGUGCAGGCUAGCAGGUGG
rnacentral:lncRNA from 1 species